CUGCAAGAAAGAAAGCAUUUUGUUUUGUGAAUGACUGCAGCAUCAGCAGCAUUUAUAAGGCAAUUUUCUUAAAAAAAACUUUUUAUAUGAAUUGUCUUAGUGAAAAAUCAAGCUGUUUACAUUUGUGUGUACUCAGAAAUACAAAAUUAUUUUAGUACCUGAACCAAAAAAUAUGAUUACAUAUAUUUUUAAUUUAUAGCAUUUGAUAUAUUAGUUAACCAACUGGCUCUUUUUAAAAGUACUUUUCUAUUGUAUAUUUCAUACGUUAAUACUAUGGAAAGGGAGAAAAGGGUGGGAAACAAAAAGAAUUUAAAUGGAGAUCUAAAUCCUUGGUAGCUAAGAAUUGCACCAAAGCCAAAGACUUGAUAGUGAAAUGCCUUCUACUUCACAUCAAUUCCUAGUGUUGAUCCAUAUUUUUGUUCUUUAUAAAAGAAAGGCAAAAAGAACCUCUAACCUUUUAAUAAUAUUAAAAUGCCAUAGCAUGUCUUAUAAGCUGGUUUCAGAAUGUUACUUUUAGCACCCACCAGGGCUGUAAAUGCAUUGAGUCUUUUGGGAGUGUCAAAUAGGCCAAUGGUAAAGGAAACCCUAAUCUCAAUUAGUUACAUUUCUAUGAAUUCCAUAACUAUUUCUGGGACCCUUUAAAAUUAAUUCCUGCCCAAAUCCCUGGUAUGAACUAUUAUAUUUAACAAGCAUACUGCUUUAAAGCCUGCUUCAGGUGGCACCAUCUGUCAGUGAAUUCUCAUACUAGGGUGAUCUUAAAUGAAGAGAGCAUUCAAUGGAAUCAAGUCCCCCUUUUUUUUUUCCUUUGAAGACUUUUUCCAAUUCCUGUGUUGAGAUCACUGAUGAUAAUAAGAACUACUCACAAAGCACAUUAAAGUUUACAGAGAGCUUUCCUCAUAGUAACCUCAUGAAGUCAUUAGUAUAAGUAUUAUCAUUCCCAUUUUACAGAUGAAGAGACUGAGACUGAGAGGUUUUCAUUUUACUUAGGGUCAUAUUGCUAGGCCACAAAUUCAUUAUAGGUAUCCCGAUUCAAAAUCCAGGACUAUAUUCAAUGUUUCCGGCUGUCCCCAUUCAGGCAAUCCAAAGCAGUUUUUUUUUUUUCCUUUUCCUUACAUGCUUCUGAUUUAUUCUGAAUCCUGCCUCUUAAUUGUAGCCUUCUUUAUGUAUAGUUAGUUUGUUGAGUUUUUAAUCACACACCAGACUAAGAUUAAAAUUAAAAGUGACUACUGGUGAGAGGCAAGGAGUCUGUUUAAAAAAAAAAAAAAACAUAUGAAGUUCAAUUCAUAAUGUGUUUUAGGAGGAAAAUCCUUUUUUAAAUUAGCCAUUGCAUUUUUUAUAGUGUGAAAGCCCAUUUUUGUUGAAUAAAACUUUGACUUCAGGCAAGUCAUUUAUAAAACUUUUCCAAAUGUCCGUCCUGAUGGUUUGAGUAUAUUUGUGUAUUUGUGUGUAUGUAUAUGCAUUCUGUUAUUUAGUAGAAAUGUGGUAAAUGAGUAGCACUAGAAAAUGAUGACUUUACCUACAAGUACAAUGUGGAAUUGGUAGAAUUAAAGGUUUUCUUCUCAAAAUCUAUCUGGCAUGAAUGGAUUUUAAUUUCUACCUGAAGUUUAUGUAUACCUGACAGCCAAUAGGAUGAUUUUGCAGCUGAAUGGCACAUGGUUUUAUUUGAACAAUGAAGGACAAAAGUAUAAUUGCAGAGGAUUUUAUAUUGUUGCUGUUAAUCUUUUACAAACACUAAAACUAAAAAUUGUAUGAUUUAAGAUAGUAAAAUACAAUAUCCUAAACCUUAUUGAUUCAUAUAAAUGUAUCACUUAUCUAAGUAUACUUUCUUUGCCUUCUGCAAGAAGUUAUGCAACUUUUCUAAUCAACUUUUCUA
rnacentral:lncRNA from 1 species